UACGUAGGGACCGAGCGUUAUCCGGAUUCAUUGGGCGUAAAGAGCUCGUAGGCGGCUAUUCAAGUCGAACGUGAAAUCUCGGAGCUCAACUCCGAGCCUGCGUUCGAUACUGGGUAGCUAGAGUCUGGUAGGGGGAUCUGGAAUUCCUGGUGUAGCGGUGGAAUGCGCAGAUAUCAGGAGGAACACCGAUGGCGAAGGCAGUUCUCUGGGCCGUAACUGACGCUGGAGGAGCGAAAGCGUGGGGAGCGAACAGG
rnacentral:rRNA from 1 species